AGCGAACGCUGGCGGCAGGCCUAACACAUGCAAGUCGAACGCCCCUUCGGGGCAUGGUCGUACGGUUGAGGAACGCGUGGUAAUGUGUGCUUUGGUAUGUGACAACUGGUGGAAACUUCCGCUCAUACCGUAUGUGUCCUACGGCGGAAAGAUUGAUCGCCAUUGUAGCAGCCCGCGUUGGAUUAGGCAGUUGGUGGGGUAAUGGCCCACCAAGCCGACGAUCGAUAGCUGGUCUGAGAGGAUGAUCAGCCACACUGGGACUGAGACACGGCGGAGACUACUACGGGAGGCAGCAGUGGGGAAUCUUGCGCAAUGGGCGAAAGCCUGACGCAGCCAUGCCGCGUGAAUGAUGAAGGUCUUAGGAUUGUAAAGUUCUUUCACAGGGGACGAUAAUGACGGUACCAGGAGAAGAAGCACCGGCUAACUUCGUG
rnacentral:rRNA from 1 species